rnacentral:rRNA from 1 species
GCUAUCGGGGUUCGAUUAAGCCAUGCGAGUCGAGAGGUGCAAGACCUCGGCGCACUGCUCAGUAACACGUGGAUAACCUACCCUCAGGAGGGGGAUAACCCCGGGAAACUGGGGAUAAUACCCCAUAGAUCAGGGACGCUGGAAUGCCCCCUGAUUCAAAGGUCCGCCGCCUGAGGAUGGGUCUGCGGCCGAUUAGGUUGUUGUUGGGGUAACGGCCCAACAAGCCAUUGAUCGGUACGGGUUGUGAGAGCAAGAGCCCGGAGAUGGAUUCUGAGACACGAAUCCAGGCCCUACGGGGCGCAGCAGGCGCGAAAACUUUACAAUGCGAGAAAUCGUGAUAAGGGAACCCCGAGUGCCCGUAAAUUCGGGCUGUCCGCCAGUGUAAAUAACUGGUGAAGAAAGGGCCGGGCAAGACCGGUGCCAGCCGCCGCGGUAAUACCGGCGGCUCGAGUGGUGGCCACUAUUACUGGGCUUAAAGCGUCCGUAGCUGGAUUGUUAAGUCUCUUGGGAAAUCCACCGGCUCAACCGAUGGGCGUUCAGGAGAAACUGGUAAUCUAGGGACCGGGAGAGGUGAGAGGUACUCCAGGGGUAGGAGUGAAAUCCUGUAAUCCUUGGGGGACCACCUGUGGCGAAGGCGUCUCACUAGAACGGCUCCGACAGUGAGGGACGAAAGCUGGGGGAGCAAACCGGAUU